CGGAGUCAUCCCAGCGCCGCGCUAUAAAAGCAGCACGGGAAGAGGCAUCGGUUACUCACUGCUCCCUGCACGCCGCUACGGACGAGAGCCCUCCGUGUCUGUGUGCCUACUGAACUGGGCCUGCCCUUCACUUGAGCUGCUCAAGUCCUCGAGGUCGACAGACGGCGAGAGGCCACUGCUGUCGCGAGGAAAGCCGCCAAGAGGCGAGUGGAGGGGGUGGAGCGCGAGUUGCUCCUUCCACCAACAACAAUGGCCUUCCCGCUGUGGAAGAUGAAGUCGAGCGUCUUCAAGAUCUACCUCAUCGGCGCCGUCGUCUCCCUCAUCACCCUGCUGCUGAGCCUGGCCGACAGAGCCACCCAGAGGAGGAACGACGGCGGCGGCGAGAGGGAGGAGGAGGUGGACAGGCGAGAGAGGCCGAAGAGGAGACGGGAGCCACGUGCCGUGCUGCCGUGGCUCAUGAAUCACGGCGGAGGGAGCGCCACGCUGCUGUUGCGAGGCGGGGAGGCGAUCGGGCCAGUGUCAACCCGCGCCUCCCACAGGACUCGAGCCUAGUGAGGGGGCCCACGUUACUGGCCGAGAGAGGCCACUCGAAGUUGGCUCUUUGUAUGUUUUUUUAAAUGAAGAAAUAACCCAGAAAUGCCUCUGGGUCUUUAGAAGCUAAGCAGGUUUCCGCGCGGUUCGAGUGUUUUUGAUAUUGUGCGAUACCGGUGACCGACUUGCCUGCCUGACUGCCUGGGAAUGUCAGGCGUUGUAUCUCGGGGCCGCGAGGUAGUGUGGAGAUGGAAUUUCAGUAAUGAUUACUUGAAUAUAUCUGUGCGGAGUUUUGUGUCAUCCCAUCGUUUGCACAAGUGGUGUAAAUUCCGGUGUCCAUGCGCACGAAGCCAAGCAGAAUUAUGAGAAUAUUUAUUUAUCCUGGAGAAAUCCGAUGAGCUAUGAAGCUCUUUUACAUCCAGUAAUAUGCUGGACUCGUGAAGACUUUGGCCAAACAUCCCAAUGCAGCUACCUCCUGAAAAGGAGGCUUUAUAUUCAGGAUUUCGUGGUUAAACGGAUCGUGGAAGGACAUUACUAAUGUUUUUAUUACUAUUCUUAUUUCACUACACGUAGGUCAACUUAGUCGCAUUGCGCUGUGCAGUGUUAUGGUCCUCGUCUGAGUGGCGAUGCAUGUCAACUAACUACCUGACAUCUAUAGUACGGUAUCGUAUCGUGAAAAAACAUGUAAAGGUGCAGCCCUGCCAUGAUUUGCUCACGCCACUGCUGGUGGAAGGGCCUGGGGGUGAGGAAGAUCUAGAGAGCUAAUCUAGAGUGUCGCAAGUACAAAACAUGAACUUUGCACUCAAAGCGUUAACUUUGCGGCUAAUGAGCCCUGCAGGUCAGUACGUUUAGUCGAGUUGUUGUUGUUACAACGUAACGCGUUUUCUUUUUAAUGCGGAUUUCGUGUAUGUUGGUGCUCAUCAUCGGGGCCAUAGCCGGUCAACGCAAUCACCAAGGUGUUUGAGACCUGAAUGUGAAAGGCGAAGAGGUCCCACGGACUUUUGAAGCCGUGUGUCCCGAGUUAAUAAAAUCUACAAAUACUGCAAACUGGGGGGGGGGGGGGGGGGGGUGGUGGAAACCGUGUCUUGCAGCAUGGGGAACACGAAGGUUCCUGCUGCCUCGGUGAAUCGCGCAGGCGGGGUGGGGAGGCUGCUGAUGGUGCUGCUGCGUGUGUACACAACGUGCAGUUAGUUAGUCUGUCAGCAGCUCAAAAGUGCUUUUCGUGAUGCUGCUUUGGCAACGGUGCACUGAAGUAUUGGCCAAACAACUCACACGACUGACGCGACAUUGGAAGACAUUCAUCCAGCAGGGGAUUGACAUAGGGCUAAAAAUGACCAUGUAUUUUCGCAGUGCAUUCGUGAAGGGUCGUAACAUAACUUUAUUGCGCCGUAUGGAUUUGCAUUGACAAGUGGUGUAUGGAUAUCGUUGGAUGCAUGCCCGUUGUGGACAAGUGUCCAUCCCACUUGUAGCAUUUGCAAUGGUCUAAUAUGUUGUAAUGGAAUCGCAUCUCAAGACUGAUAGCAAAGACUAUCGCAUUCGUCAAUAAUACUGCCCUGAAAAUAUAUAUUGUAAUAGGC